GGCUACACAUGCAAGUCGAGCGGCAGCGGGAAAGUAGCUUGCUACUUUUGCCGGCGAGCGGCGGACGGGUGAGUAAUGCCUGGGAAUCUGCCCAGUCGAGGGGGAUAACAGUUGGAAACGACUGCUAAUACCGCAUACGCCCUACGGGGGAAAGCAGGGGACCUUCGGGCCUUGCGCGAUUGGAUGAACCCAGGUGGGAUUAGCUAGUUGGUGAGGUAAUGGCUCACCAAGGCGACGAUCCCUAGCUGGUCUGAGAGGAUGAUCAGCCACACUGGAACUGAGACACGGUCCAGACUCCUACGGGAGGCAGCAGUGGGGAAUAUUGCACAAUGGGGGAAACCCUGAUGCAGCCAUGCCGCGUGUGUGAAGAAGGCCUUCGGGUUGUAAAGCACUUUCAGCGAGGAGGAAAGGUUGAUGCCUAAUACGUAUCAACUGUGACGUUACUCGCAGAAGAAGCACCGGCUAACUCCGUGCCAGCAGCCGCGGUAAUACGGAGGGUGCAAGCGU
rnacentral:rRNA from 1 species